rnacentral:rRNA from 1 species
AUUGAACGCUGGCGGCAGGCUUAACACAUGCAAGUCGAGCGGGGUGAUGGUGCUUGCACUAUCACUUAGCGGCGGACGGGUGAGUAAUGCUUAGGAAUCUGCCUAUUAGUGGGGGACAACAUCUCGAAAGGGAUGCUAAUACCGCAUACGUCCUACGGGAGAAAGCAGGGGAUCACUUGUGACCUUGCGCUAAUAGAUGAGCCUAAGUCGGAUUAGCUAGUUGGUGGGGUAAAGGGCUACCAAGGCGACGACCUGUAGCGGGUCUGAGAGGAUGAUCCGCCACACUGGGACUGAGAAACGGCCCAGACUCCUACGGGAGGCAGCAGUGGGGAAUAUUGGACAAUGGGGGGAACCCUGAUCCAGCCAUGCCGCGUGUGUGAAGAAGGCCUUAUGGUUGUAAAGCACUUUAAGCGAGGAGGAGGCUCUUUUGGUUAAUACCCAAGAUGAGUGGACGUUACUCGCAGAAUAAGCACCGGCUAACUCUGUGCCAGCCGCCGCCGUAA